CCGCCUGUCUUUGGCAGGAUAGAUAGGACUCACUUUUUUUAUUUUCCAGAUGUGGUGCUGCGGCUGGAGAGGGGUUAGUUCAGAGUGUGGGCCGGGUUCUUUUAUCUUUGAGCGUUGAAAGGCAUGCUAGGUGCCUGCUUUUCACUCUCUGACAUCCGGCCAGUCCGUGUUGGAAGUGGCGUGUGUGUGCAUGGCUGGGAGGCUAUUUAGGUGGAACGCAUGUACUGGUGGCGAUGUGUUCCACCAAGAGAUUGCAGUGCUUUGGCGCCAAAUUCAAACAGGAAGGUCUUGGAGACUUUUUAUACCCAGCCACAACUACAUAGUUCAACUCUGUUGUAGGUAUGCUCUCACCAGCCCUCCAGCAUACCCUGAAGCCUAACAAGGUAAGACUUUUUGCUUUUACUUUUCAAUUAUUCCUCUUGUCCCCAGUUUAGUUUAGUCAGGUAUUUUUCUUUAAUUUCAUUUCUUGUAUGUCUAAUACUGAAACCUCUGAGAAACCUGUCGGGAAAGCAUGUAAUAAGCAUGUAGGAAUAUAUAUAAAAAUACCCAUUUCUGUCUAAUUAGAGAUAUAUUUGCCAGAAGCUCAAGGGAGCAAGGUGAAUGGUUGGUUAGAGUUAAGACCCACCUAAGAGGUCUGCCUUGACGUGGCAGGUGGGCAUACCCUCUCACGGCCAUUGGAGGUAACGAAAAACCUAAAUUUGUUUAAAAACACAUAAGGAUUUGGAACAAGCGCGGGAAAGGAAAAUGUCUAUCCAGGCACCUUACCUGUGCAUACUGUAGUCAUCCUAUGCCUGAUCUGUAGUAUUUUGUUCUUAAGAGGUAGCGGAAGAAUCUAAGAAAGCUGAGGUUUCCUCUUUUCUGUCUUGGUUCCUGUCCAGCCUUCAACAAACUUUUGGGAAGCGGCAAUUCAAGUCAUCUGUAACCCCUGUAUGGAACUUAAGACUCUCUUUCAGAAAAAUAAGAAGCGUGAACAUGAAGAAUCUUUCACUUAAGAAUCUUUAGACUUAAUUUCAGAUUUUUCUAAAGAUUCUGAUAUUUUCUCUGAUGAGGAUUUAGCAUUUCCUGAUGAAUUCUAACAUAAGCUCAUUAAAGGGACACUAUAUUCACCAGAACAACUACAUCAUAAUGUAGUUGUUGUGAUGUGUAUAGUAUUUCCCUGCAGGCUUUCUAAUUUUCAGAGAAAAGGCAGAAUUUACAUUACUGCUUAGUGAGCACAGAACAGGGGAGGGAGUGGGGAAGAUUAAUACGUGAGGAAGAUUGGUGAGAGAUCUUUUCCCUGAUUGUAGAAAUCUGAGUGAAGUGAGUUGUGAUUUUGUAGCGGUCAAAUUAGUUGGAGGAGGAGCAGCAACAGGGCGAAGAAGAGUUACUUGUGAAAGAGGCUUUUGGAUUCACGGGAGAGCAUGGCUAGGAGGGUAUCAAAGCGAACUAGAUCAUCAAAGAACAGAUUCGAGGGCGGAGCCUGACUACCAAGAUGGCCAGAUGUGUUUCUUCACACCCGUGUUUAAUUUGAGCUGUAAAUGCGCUGGAAUCAGCCUGAACACACAGUGGACCAACAUUAUACCCAAUGGGCAAUCAAAGAAGUAUCCUUGAAAUUGAUCCGACACAUCUAUGGCCCCACAACUCCUUCUCCUCGGCCGGUGGAGGUUAUCCUAGUCCCCGCUGAGGAAACUCUCUGCCCUGCAGCAAAGGCCGACACAGAGGUCCUGCGGUGAGCCCAAAGUGGGCACUGCGCCGCAACUCCCACAGCCCAGAGAGGGCCCAGAGCUUAAAAGAGUGCUCUGAAUAGUGAUUUGAUUUAGUCUGCCAAAAAUUCUGGUGGCACAUCUCCCACCAACCUCACACCUACACUGUGCCUACUCGGCAACAACGAGGGGGGUGCAGCAUAUCACCAACCUUGCACCAGGCUGGGGAACCAACUGGAGAUACUGCCACAUACCCAUCCGAAUAUCUAGAUGAUCCUCUGAAACCAGGAGAACCAGUGGGUCGGCGGCCAUGCCGAACGGAGGAGGAGGGUCCUUGGAAGUACAGCACCAGUUCCCUUUAUGGUCUGGGAAAAGGUGGUGAAAAAUCCAUGUACAGCUACCCUGGCACAGAUUGCGAGCAUGCAGCCUGACUUUUCUUGCAGAACUGAGUGGGGGAGAAAAAUAACCAACUGUAACUGGUGGGCUACCUGUGGUGUUUGGAGUUCCUGCCUGUAUACCACUGUUAUCUAGUUAUUAGAGCAGGGAUUCCUGUUUUCUUCUUUAUUCUGUCCUGUUGUGCCUCGUACCCAGUGGUAUUAUAAUUAUUCCUCACUGACCUAGCAGGUGUUUAUAGUACUAUUACUCUUUUGACUACCAAAAUGUCAGUUAAAAUUUCUUGAUUUAGCAUUUUUACCCUAUAGUACUUUCUCAGUUGUCUCCAUGUCUGGACAAUCUGCUUGUCAACAAGCUUCUAUUCCGAUUUAUACCCAGACAUGACUAUCUAACUUGUUAUUACUAUUUUAAAAAUGUGCAAUUUCGGCAAUUGUUAUAUCCGCAUUAUAUUUUGUCUGUUACUGUGCUUGCCUACCUAUGCUGUUGUGGCAAGAUCAGCUUCUUUGUUUCUACAGGGAAAUAACAAAAAUAAAUUUAAAUAAAAGAACAGAUUCUGAAAGAGGAAGAGAAGAGGAAACAAUAGGAGAAAGUAAGUUUGACAGAGCCACUUAAAUAACACAGGCUAAUAAAAAUGCCUCUGGGUUAACUUGUCUAAAUAAUAAAGUUUAAUAUCCCAAUGAUCUUUUUUCAGCUUCUGUAUGUACCUGUAUGGAAAAAAAUUCUGUUGUGUUGUCUGGACGACUUGACUCCUACAGAUUUCAGGCUCAACCCUGAGUUGUGAGUUUAUAGUGCACAAUACAUCUGGUCAGUGAUGAUAUAUCCAUGUCUGAUUCUGAACACCGUUAUAACAAUAAAACAUAAUAUUUAAAAAUAUAAACUGGAUAUAAGCAUCAUUUCAAACUCCAUAAUGUGCAAUAUGGAUUGGUUUGUAGCCUGGGAGGAUAAACCAGACUUUCUUUAAAUGAUUCAGCUCCCAAAAGACAGAUUACUAAAUUUAAAACCAAAAACAGCUUAUUACAGAUGACCGUAAAAUCUGAAAUAGUGACUCCGUGAUCUAAUGUUACAAAAAGAUAAACUAAUGUGUUAAAAAGCAACAAACACACAAGGUUGUCUUUUUAAAAAUACAUACAUUUAUUUUAAAUCUCAAAAAACAAAGCUGUGGGGCAUUAGUGUAACGGAUUGUUUCAAGUUAUAUGUAAUGUUUACAUACAAAAUUUUAACAAAACUGAAAUGUACUACGUUUUUGCAAUUAUAAAAGGUUUUAAUCCUUUAAUCAAUGUUUUGUAAUCAGUUCUUGUAGAAUUAAUAAAGUACCAUUAUGAGAGAGAAACAGUUUUUCUUUUUCAUUUUGCUUCCUUAUAGGCAUAGCACACAUUUUGUUAUGUAUUUAGUUGCAUUUUACCAAUAAUGCACACAUGAAUAUAAC